UUGUUUUCCAUAGCGAUGAAA
rnacentral:piRNA from 1 species